UUAUAUUGUUCUUUGAGUUGAGUAUUUCCAUAUUGCUAUUGUUUUGUAUGUCCUCAGCUUAAGUUGGAGUCACUACUUUUUUCAAGGUCAAUGGAAUGGUAACCGUCUAACAAGAUAUCUUACAAGCGGAAUGACUAGCGUUCUUUGUAAACUUGAAAAGUGAAAUUAUAAUAUAUAUAUAUAUAUAUAAUAAAAAAUAAUUGCAUCUUAGUAUUUUCCUUUCAACUUAAAAGCGGACUGUAAAUCAAACGUUUUACAGUCCUAAAUUAAUUUAUUUGGUUUUCUACGAGAUUUCACUAAAAUGGUAUGGCAUUGGAGAGGCAUGAAAGAAAGGAAAAUAAUAUACGUACAAUAUAUUUUUAUAAUUUUUAUAUAAUUACAUUUUAAAUAAGAAUAUUUUUAUAAAAUUUAUAAAAAUGUCACUUUAUAGUAAUACUGUUGUUUUAAAAUAUGGUUAUAUUGCCUCACUUUCAGUUUUUUUAGCGAGAGAAACUCUGUCUUCUCUCUAGGAAAAACCGAUCCUUCCGUUCAAUUUCGCCGGAGAGGAACGCUCCACCUUCCUCUCCGUAUCGCUUUCCUUUUCCGUUUCCUUUAUGUUACGUAUAUGUGAAUAUGCUUAUAUGGUAGUAUUUUUCUACCGGUUCGGAUUUUUUAAGAUCUGUAGCUCUCCGACCUUGAACAGUUGACAUGUGCCCCACCACGACGUUUCCCUCCAUCCGAUCUAUUGGGACGAUGUAGAACCGCGCCCAAAAUGUCGGUGUGUGACCCUCAUGAACGGCUUGUUUUCGCACGUGACCUUCACGCGCCGUACCAGCUGACUCCCCACCCUCCGAGCCUUCAGAUGGCAUGAUGACCACCUCUAUUCCAUUGGCGCGUGGUCUUCAUGCGCCACUCCAAAGAAUAUAUGGCGACCGAUGUUAGAAAUGCCUGAAGAAGGAAGAUCUUGGAUCGGGGAUCCGAUCGCUUAGCCCUCAUAAUGGGUCGGAUCCAAACCCUUCCGUCGUCUGCCUCUUCUCACGACGAAAAUACAAGCUGCACGGGCUCAGACCCACAGUCCCAAACGGUGAUUCCCAACGAUCAAGAUCUCCAACCCCACAUCUCCCAUCAAACCACCAGUACCCUCUCUCUUUCUAUAUAUAUUUAUUUUUUGCCUUUUCCUGAAAAAUUUGAGGGAAAAAUAUUAUCUUGAGAAAACUUAUUUGAUCGCAUUCAGCAGUUUUAGUAAAGGCGGGGUGGAAUUUUGAUUGCUCUGGAUUAGUUGAAGACUAAAUGAUAUCUAACUAAACAGAAAUAGAAUGUAAUUAGGUGUUCUUUUGUAUACAUCCUAUGUACAUAGGCUAUGCCUUUUUCAUUCGUAUGAAUAAAAUCUUCUUAGUACUUA